CUCUUCCCCUGCAUGGGUUAUGAGUCUCGGACCCAGUGCACUGGUUCCCGUCUCAUCUCAUCAUUAAAGCCUCGUGUGAUUGCAUCAAGGACGGUCUCUUAGGUGAACCGGGCAGCAUCGCAGCCGGCGAACGCAGUCUCAGAGGCUGACACCCAGUAGGGACAUCCGAAAGCCUCAAGGGAUCUUGCGAUUUCGUUCAGACUGCCCGCAAACGUGGACUGGAGCGGUGAGUUUCGGUUCCCAAGACUGUCUAUAGAUAAAAGACCUGGGAGACCAAGACCCGCGGCGAGGCUGAAGGUGCAGGAAGUGACGUCACAUGCAGAGGUGCCGGAGGCGGCGCCUGCGCCCUAGGGCGGCUGUCCGGCGCAGUCGAGAAAUCGCAGUGCGAGCGAGGCCAGCGGACUCGGCUUCGAGCCGAGAACCUUGAAGAAUUUUGCAGAACCCUGCUACCUAUGGACUCUGAAAUGGGCUUCAUGUAAAGAAACCCCCAACGCGUUCAUGGACAAAACAUGAGUCAGUUUGUGUUGUGGCAGUCACAUCCUAACACUUCAGGAGAGACAGGAUCUCUCGCUGAACCUGGAGCUCACAGUUUGGACUAGGCUGGCUGGCCCGAAAGCCCCCAGGAUCCUCCUGUUUCCAGUCUCGGUAUAACUAGGGUUACAGAUUCAAUGUAACAUAUGGCUUUUACAUGAGCCCAGGGCCCUUCAUGUUUCUUACAUUGGUGUAGAUAAGAACCAAAGAAAUGGCACUUCCCAGAAAGUAUUGUGUUCUGUGCCCGCAAGCCUGGAUUAGAGGGAAGCAUGAGCUCGGUAUGGACGUUUUGACUUCGGGCCUUUUGUUGUAGCCUAUUAAAACAUCGAGUCAAUAAUGGGAAGGUGAGGAUUAACUAUUAGAAAACUAUGUGAGGUUAGAGAGGUAUAUGCUGAGCACGUGCAAACCUUGGGUCCAGUCUGCUGCAUAGUGUGUGUGUGUGUGUGUGCGUGUGUGCUCGCUGGACAUUAGAUUAUAUACCCUGAGAAACUGAUCUUCAGAAAGGACCAGUUAAAGGCUUCCUCCACCACUGCCUCUUCCAGAACUUCCUAGCUACAGAACUGGAGGGUCAGAUCGUCUUUCUGACCCUUUGUUCAUUGACCGACAAUUGUUUAGGGAAGGGAUUGUAGAGCAGGGUAUUUCCAGUGUGUCUCACACAGGAAGAGUAAAUGUGGCUUUCAGUUUCAUAUGAAGAAAUGUGUGCAUCUGGUAAUUAGGUAAAAUACGUUUUUUUUUCUUGUAUGUUCCCGGCACAGUUUUCCAGUCUAAUCUUAGUCCUUGUGCCUUUCUGCACGCUACAAUUGCUUGGAAAGUCCUCAUUUCAUGUCCCUUCAUACUUGUGAGUAAGAAAUUAAUAGUAUCUAUGAUAUUUGGUUUAAUUAAAGUACUUUGUGUUUCAUACAAAAGAGAAGACCAUGUAGCCUGGUUAUUCUGACAUCUUUAGAAAGCUUACUGAUUGGUUCAGCUGUGGCUUACUAGAAAAACUAUGCUAAAUGUCCUACUUUGUUUUUUGUUUUGUUUUGUUU